rnacentral:rRNA from 1 species
GGUCAAGUUACUAAGAGCAUACAGGGGAUGCCUAGGCGCAGGAAGGCGAUGAAGGACGUGGCCAGCUGCGAUAAGCCCCGGGGAGUCGCUCAACAGACUUUGAUCCGGGGAUUUCCGAAUGGGGAAACCCAUCUUGGUGAAGCCAGGAUAUCCUCAUCUGAAUACAUAGGGUGAGGAAGCGAACCUAGGGAAGUGAACCAUCUCAGUACCUAGAGGAAAAUAAAGCAACCGCGAUUCCCCAAGUAGCGGCGAGCGAACGGGGAACAGCCUAAACCGUCGGCAUGUAAGCGUGUGCGCGUUGUGUCGGCGGGGUCGUGGGACCUGACGGGGCUCCAGCACAAGGGAGCCAAAGAGUUACAAAAGGAUAUUUCAGCCGAAUACCAUGGGAAGGGAAACCACAGAAGGUGAUAGUCCUGUAGGCGAAAAGAUAUCCUCUCUUAGUCGGGCACCCAAGUACCACGGGACACGAGAAACCCUGUGGGAAUCCGGGAGGACCAUCUUCCAAGGCUCAAUACUCAUCUGCGACCGAUAGUGAACUAGUACCGUGAGGGAAAGGUGAAAAGAACCCCUGUUAGGGGAGUGAAAUAGUACCUGAAACUGUAUGCUUACAAGCACUCGGAGCCCUCGCAAGGGGGUGACGGGGUGCCUUUUGCUUAAUGAGCCGGCUAGUUAUUCUGUGUGGCAAGGUUAAGCUCUACACGAGCGGAGCCGUAGCGAAAGCAAGUCUGAAUAGGGCGUUUAGUCGCACGGAAUAUACGCGAAGCUGAGUGAUCUACCCUUGGCCAGGAUGAACUCAGGGUAACACCUGAGGGAGGUCCGAACCAGUGUCGGUUGAAAACGGCUUGGAUGAGCUGAGGGUAGGGGUGAAAGGCUAAUCAAACUCAGGAAUAGCUCGUUCUCUCCGAAAUAGCUUUAGGGCUAGCCUCGCACGAAUGUCAAGGGCGGUAGAGCACUGGAUGGCCUAGGGGUUCGAAAGUUCUACCAAAUCCAACCAAACUCCGAAUUCCCUUGAACACUAUGCGGGAGUCAGACUGCGAGCACUAAGGUCCGUAGUCAAAAGGGAAACAGCCCAGAUCGUCAGCUAAGGUCCCUAAAUACAGGCUAAGUGGGCAAGGAUGUGAGGAUACUAAGACAACCAGGAUGUUGGCUUAGAAGCAGCCAUCAUUUAAAGAAAGCGUAACAGCUCACUGGUCAAGCGUUCUUGCGCCGACAAUGUAACGGGGCUUAAGCCUGUUACCGAAGCUGCGAACUGUCAUCGUCUUCGGACGAUGGCUUUGGUAGGAGAGCAUUCUCACUCGGGCGAAGCCGCCUCGUAAGGGGUGGUGGACGGCUGAGAAGAGACCCUGCCGGCAUGAGUAGCGAUAAUUGGGGUAGAAACCCUCAACGCCGAAAAUCUAAGGUUUCCUGGGGAAGGUCAGUCCGCCCAGGGUUAGUCGGUCCCUAAGGCGAGGCCGAAGGGCGUAGCCGAUGGACAGCAGGUCAACAUUCCUGCACCAGCCGAGAUGCGUUAUCACUAAUGGGGAGACGCAGGAGGAUAGGCAUACGCGCGAUUGGAAAUGCGCGGCCGCCACGUAGAGGGAGCUUCCAGGCAAAUCCGGAGGCUCUUAACCUCGAGCACGGCGGGGAAGGUUGCCUUCGGGCUUCCGAACUUGUCGAUUCCACGCUGCCAAGAAAAUCCUCUAAGGAGUGUCUCGGGUGACCGUACCGCAAACCGACACAGGUAGAUAAGGAGAGUAUCCUAAGGCGCACGAGUGAGCCCUCUUUAAGGAACUAGGCAAGUUAGCCCCGUAACUUAGGGAAAAGGGGCGCCUCAUUAGGGUGAAGCCAUUCAGGUGGAGCCCGAGGAGGCCGCAGAGAAAUGGCUCUAGCGACUGUUUAAUAAAAACACAGGACUCUGCAAAGACAUAAAAUCGAUGUAUAGGGUCUGACGCCUGCCCGGUGCUGGAAGGUUAAGGGAAGCGGUUAGCCGCAAGGCGAAGCUGUGAACCGAAGCCCCAGUAAACGGCGGCCGUAACUAUAACGGUCCUAAGGUAGCGAAAUUCCUUGUCGGGUAAGUUCCGACCCGCACGAAAGGCGUAACGACUUGAGCGCUGUCUCAAAGAGGGGCUCGGCGAAAUUGUGGUACCGGUGAAGACGCCGGUUACCUGCCGCUGGACGGAAAGACCCCGGCACCUUAACUGCAUCCUAGCAUUGGAUUUCGGUCCAUGAUGCGCAGGAUAGGUGGGAGACUUUGAAGCUGCACCCCCGGGUGUGGUGGAGUCAACGGUGAGAUACCACUCUUCCUGGUCUGAGAUUCUAACCUCCUCCCCUGAUCGGGGAGAGGAACAGUGUUAGGUGGGUAGUUUGACUGGGGCGGUCGCCUCCUAAAAUGUAACGGAGGCGCCCAAAGGUUCCCUCAGGUUGUUUGGAAAUCAACCGUAGAGUGCAAAGGCAUAAGGGAGCUUAACUGCGAGACCGACGGGUCGAACAGGUGGGAAACCAGGGCUUAGUGAUCCGGUGGUCCUGUAUGGAAGGGCCAUCGCUCAACGGAUAAAAGGUACGCCGGGGAUAACAGGCUAAUAGUGUCCAAGAGCUCACAUCGACGACACUGUUUGGCACCUCGAUGUCGGCUCAUCUCAUCCUGGGGCUGAAGCAGGUCCCAAGGGUCCGGCUGUUCGCCGGUUAAAGAGGUACGUGAGCUGGGUUUAGAACGUCGCGAGACAGUUCGGUCCCUAUCCACGGUAGGCGCAGGAGAUUUGAGGGGGGCUGUCCAUAGUACGAAAGGACCUGGAUGGACGAACCUCUAGUGUACCAGUUGUCCCGCCAGGGGCAGCGCUGGGUAGCUACGUUCGGUCGUGAUAACCGCUGAAAGCAUAUAAGCGGGAAGCACGCCCCAAGAUAAGAUCUCCCUCCCGCAAGGGCUGAAGGUCCCUCGUAGACUACGAGGUUGAUAGGCUGGAGGUGUAAGCGCAGUGAUGCGUUCAGCUAACCAGUACUAAUAGACCGUGAGGCUUGACCAU